GUGGGGAAUAUUGGACAAUGGGCGAAAGCCUGAUCCAGCCAUGCCGCGUGUGUGAAGAAGGUCUUCGGAUUGUAAAGCACUUUAAGUUGGGAGGAAGGGCAGUAAGUUAAUACCUUGCUGUUUUGACGUUACCGACAGAAUAAGCACCGGCUAACUUCGUGCCAGCAGCCGCGGUAAUACGAAGGGUGCAAGCGUUAAUCGGAAUUACUGGGCGUAAAGCGCGCGUAGGUGGUUCAGCAAGUUGGAGGUGAAAUCCCCGGGCUCAACCUGGGAACUGCAUCCAAAACUACUGAGCUAGAGUACGGUAGAGGGUAGUGGAAUUUCCUGUGUAGCGGUGAAAUGCGUAGAUAUAGGAAGGAACACCAGUGGCGAAGGCGACUACCUGGACUGAUACUGACACUGAGGUGCGAAAGCGUGGGGAGCAAACAGGAUUAGAUACCCCGGUAGUCC
rnacentral:rRNA from 1 species